ACGGGGAAACGUGUAUCCCCUGAGAGGGCUCUUAAGGAACAUUACCGAACAAAGAGAUAGAAGUCCGAGCUUUCUUAGGGUUUCGCCAUAGGUAGCGGGCAUCGGAUCGACGCAGCUCUCUUCUUCCGCCGACGCCUCUUUUUUCUUUCAGAUCAAGAUGGCUGGGAGAGGUCGCGUGCCUCGCCAAGCUUUUGAAGAUGCUCGACGUGGUUAUCCUGUCCCUCCUGAAGGGCCAUUUUUUGGUGGCCCUGUUCCUCGUCCGCCUCACCCUGCUGCACUUGAGGAGGAACUUGAAUUGCAGAUGAUGGAUAUAAGGAGGCUUUUGGCUGAUAAUCGUGGUCUAGCCGAGGAUCGUGCAGCUUUUCAUCGGGAACUGAUUGCUGCUAAGGAGGAACUGCAUCGGAUGAAUUUGGUGAUUGCAGAUAUCCGUGCUGAGAAAGAAGCCCAUGCAAGGGAGCUGAUUGAGAAAGGAUUGAAGUUAGAAGCUGAUCUGAGAGCCACUGAACCUCUCAGGGAUGAGGUUGUACAGCUUCGUGCGGAAAUUAAGAGGCUAACUGCCAUGCGACAAGAACUCACUGAGCAGGUUCGGUCCCUAACACAAGAUCUGACAAGGGCACGAGCUGAUAAUAAACAAAUCCCCGCUAUGAAGGCUGAAAUUGAUGAGCUUCGGCAGGAACUUAUCCAUCUUCGGAUGUCUAUCGAGUAUGAGAAGAAAGGGAACUUUGAGCUAAUGGAACAAAGGCAGUCAAUGGAGAAAAACUUGGUUUCCAUGGCACGUGAAAUUGAAAAAUUGCGAGCUGACUUGGCUAAUGCUGAGGGAAGGCCACGGGGUGCAGGUGGAGGUUACCCUUCGUCCUACGGAAGCCCUGAAGGACUGUUCCCUUCGUCAUAUGGAUAUGAGUAUGGUUUUCAGCCGCCUGUUGCUGACAAGGCUCCUCUCUAUGGUGCUGGUUCUGGAUCAUGGGGAGCAGUUGACAAGGCUCGCGCUCCUCGCCGUUGAAAAUCAAAAUUGAAUUGCCCUCUGAAAUACAAAUUAUGCCUCUUUAUGUUGCAGAUGUUUCUCCACUAGAGGGUUAGAAGUUCUAGCUUUACCAAUUGGCGCAUGGUCCACCAGCCUGUCUUAAUAGAAUGCUGUUCAUCGUUAAAAGCAAGACAUAGCGCAUCACUCAUUAUCUUUGCUUUUGUUGGACGGAGAAAUGCUUUAUAUGCUUUUAUAUGGUUGGUACACCCUUAUGUUAGCAACCCCACAAGAAAGCUCCAGGCCUUGAACCUAUGACACAAUGGCUGCAACUCGCCUGGAUGGGAUUGAAAUGGCACUUAUGCGCAAGUGUGAAUCAAGUGUGAAUCAAUCAACCCAAGCAUAUGCCAAUAUCUAUUCUGGCUUGAUCCAAGAUCCCAAUUUCAAAACAACCUGGCUUCAUUCAAGAUAUUGAGUAGAUAGGUGGAUGAAAGCAGGUGAGACGUGGAAAGAGAUUUUUAGGCAACGACGGGGGAGAAUGAGAGGGAGAGAUUUGGUGCUAAGAUGGGGGAUGCAAGGAAGAAUGUCUGAGUUUUUUAGGGUUUCCAUGUGUGCCAGCAUAUAUGCUGUGGACUGGUUUGCUUGUUUUGAUUGCUUGGUCCCUCACCAGGGCAUGCACGUAUUCCAAACAUUUCAGCAAGUAGGGAUUACUGGUUAAAUUGGCUGUAUCAUUUGCGUUGUAUCUUUCAUUGAUUGUAUCAGUCAUGUAGUUGAUAUUUCUAGGACUAACCGAUUCAUCAAAUGCUUGUUUCUGGUUCAUUAACAAAGGCUGAAAGGGGGCAUUUGUGGGACUCCAA